GACAGAGGCCCCGAGCGUUAGGCGGAAUCACUGGGCUUAAAGCGUGUGUAGGCGGAUCGUUAAGUGUCUUGUGAAAUCCCACGGCUCACCCGUGGAACUGCUGGGCAUACUGGCGAUCUUGGGCCGUUCAGGGGCGACUGGAACAAGCGGUGGAGCGGUGAAAUGCGUAGAUAUCGCUUGGAACGCCGAAGGUGAAAACAGGUCGCUGGGGACGCGCCGACGCUGAGACACGAAAGCCAGGGGAGCAGACGGG
rnacentral:rRNA from 1 species